rnacentral:rRNA from 1 species
UACGUAGGGGGCAAGCGUUGUCCGGAUUUAUUGGGCGUAAAGAGCGUGUAGGCGGCCAGGUAGGUCUGCUGUGAAAACUCGAGGCUUAACCUCGAGCUGUCGGCGGAAACCAUCUGGCUAGAGUCCGGAAGAGGAGAAUGGAAUUCCCGGUGUAGCGGUGAAAUGCGCAGAUAUCGGGAAGAACACCCGUGGCGAAGGCGGUC